rnacentral:rRNA from 1 species
GACGAACGCUGGCGGCGUGCCUAAUACAUGCCAGUAGAACGCACAGUUUAUACCGUAGCUUGCUACACCAUAGACUGUGAGUUGCGAACGGGUGAGUAACGCGUAGGUAACCUGCCUGGUAGCGGGGGAUAACUAUUGGAAACGAUAGCUAAUACCGCAUAAUAUUGAUUAUUGCAUGAUAAUUGAUUGAAAGAUGCUAUUGCAUCACUACCAGAUGGACCUGCGUUGUAUUAGCUAGUAGGUGAGGUAACGGCUCACCUAGGCGACGAUACAUAGCCGACCUGAGAGGGUGAUCGGCCACACUGGGACUGAGAUACGGCCCAGACUCCUACGGGAGGCAGCAGUAGGGAAUCUUCGGCAAUGGACGAAAGUCUGACCGAGCAACGCCGCGUGAGUGAAGAAGGUUGUCGGAUCGUAAAGCUCUGUUGUAAGAGAAGAACGGGUGUGAGAGUGGAAAGUUCACACUGUGACGGUAUCUUACCAGAAAGGGACGGCUAACUACGUG